GAUCAUGGCUCAGGAUGAACGCUAGCGGCAGGCCUAAUACAUGCAAGUCGAACGCUCAGUAGCAAUACUGGGAGUGGCGCACGGGUGCGUAACGACGUACACAAUCUACCUCUAAGCGGGGGACACUCCUGGAAACGGGGAUUAAUACCGCAUAAUAUGCCGAGGUCGCAUGACUUUGGUAUUAAAGCAGCAAUGCACUUAGAGAUGAGUGUGCGUCCCAUUAGGUAGUUGGUGAGGUAACGGCUCACCAAGCCUAUGAUGGGUAGCCGGUCUGAGAGGAUGGUCGGCCACACGGGCACUGAGACACGGGCCCGACUCCUACGGGAGGCAGCAGUAAGGAAUAUUGGUCAAUGGUGGAAACACUGAACCAGCCAUGCCGCGUGGAGGAAUAAGGUCCUACGGAUUGUAAACUCCUUUUGACGAGGAAGAAAGUGUUAGAUUUAUCUAAUUUUGACGGUACUCGUAGAAUAAGCACCGGCUAACUCCGUG
rnacentral:rRNA from 1 species